rnacentral:rRNA from 1 species
UGGAAGUAAAAAAGUCGUAACAAGGUCUCCGUUGGUGAACCAGCGGAGGGAUCAUUACAGGAAGCCGAAAGGCUACUUAAAACCAUCGCGAACUAUUCCAAGUUGCUUCGGCGGUGCGGCUCUCCCCCCCGGGGGUCUGCCGCGUGCGCCGCCUCCUCCCCCGGGAGCUGGCGGGGCGCCCGCCGGAGGUCACAAACUCUCAUGUAUUACAGUGGAUCUCUGAGUGGAAAACAAAUAAGUCAAAACUUUCAACAACGGAUCUCUUGGUUCUGGCAUCGAUGAAGAACGCAGCGAAAUGCGAUAAGUAAUGUGAAUUGCAGAAUUCAGUGAAUCAUCGAAUCUUUGAACGCACAUUGCGCCCGCUAGUACUCUAGCGGGCAUGCCUGUUCGAGCGUCAUUUCAACCCUCAAGCCCUGCUUGGUGUUGGGGCCCCACGGCUGCCGUGGGCCCUGAAAGGAAGUGGCGGGCUCGCUACAACCCCGAGCGUAGUAAUUCAUUAUGUCGCUUAGGGCGUUGUGCGGUGCUCCUGCCGUUAAAGCACCCCUUUAACUCAAGGUGACCUCGGAUCAGGUAGAAUCCCG